rnacentral:rRNA from 1 species
CUACGGGUGGCUGCAGUGGGGAAUAUUGGACAAUGGGGGAAACCCUGAUCCAGCAAUGCCGCGUGUGUGAAGAAGGCCUGCGGGUUGUAAAGCACUUUCGGUUGGGAGGACUGCUUCUAGCACUAAUAUUGUUGGAAGUUGACGUUACCUUCAGAAGAAGCACCGGCUAACUCCGUGCCAGCAGCCGCGGUAAUACGGAGGGUGCAAGCGUUAAUCGGAAUUACUGGGCGUAAAGCGCACGUAGGCGGCUAGAUCAGUCGGGUGUGAAAGCCCCGGGCUUAACCUGGGAACUGCAUCCGAUACUGUCUAGCUUGAGUACAGGAGAGGAGAGUGGAAUUCCACAUGUAGCGGUGAAAUGCGUAGAUAUGUGGAGGAACACCAAUGGCGAAGGCAGCUCUCUGGCCUGAUACUGACGCUGAGGUGCGAAAGUGUGGGGAGCAAACAGGAUUAGAUACCCGUGUAGUC